rnacentral:tRNA from 1 species
GAUAAAGUGGCUGAAGUAUUUAGGUAAUAAAUUGUAAAUUUAUUUAUGGCAGUGUUGCCCUUUAUCA